ensembl:lncRNA
GUUUUUGUUCAAAACCAACCCAGGAUAAACAGCAGCAAUAAAUUACUGCAUUGGAGACCCACAUAUGAGCCCAGCCUCUAAAGGUGGUCUUGCUGAUAGCAGGAGAGCAGCCUGCAGGCUGCUGGGGAUUUCCUAUCUCUCACAGUGUAUGCAGUAUUACCCUGUUUGAGCCUAUCGCUCCCAGCAGAAAGAUGCAUUGCUUCCAUCUGUUUUCACAGAGAAGAAAAUGAUACCUGUGUGAGGCAGCCCACAGCCAUUUCCCUGCUGCAGUCAUCGCUGAGAAAUACUUCUUAGAUGGACACAGCCCCCAAAAGCAGCUGUGGAUGAAUACAGCACCUGCAAGGCAUCAGACAUGGAG